UUUGAAAAGAGAGUUAAACAGUAUGUGAAAUUGUUAACAAGGGAACCGUUUGGAGCCAGACUGGCUUGAUCGUAAUCACUCUAGGCUUUGGCCUGGAUGCACUUGCGGUCUAUGCCGGCCAACGACAGUUUUGUUUGAGGGAAAAAAUUACAUUGAAUGUGGCCCUUCGGGGUGUUAUAGCUUUGUAAAAAAUACCUUGGACGGGACUGAGGAACGCAGCGAAUGCCUUUAGGCGAGAUUGCUGGGUGCUUGCGCUGAUACAUGCUAGAAUUUCUGCUUUGGGUGGUGCUAGUGUGUAAAGGAGUAACCCGCUUAGUAUAUUUUUUAUUCGCUUAGGUUGUUGGCUUAAUGACUCUAAAUGACCCGUCUUGAAACACGGACCAA
rnacentral:rRNA from 1 species